rnacentral:lncRNA from 1 species
AAGAGGAGUGAGCCUCCAACUCAGUAAAUAAAAUAAUUAACAUAAUCUAUAUCACAUUCAUUUAAUAUAAUUUUCACUUAAUCACAUAACUUACCAUGAUUUAUAAUUUACGCAUAAGUUCAUACCAUUCUAUUCAAUUCAUUACAACCAUCAUAAGAAAAUACAAUUAAGCAAUUAUGGUUAGUUCUCACGGCUCGUGGAUCCCCUUUAAUGUGUUGCUCCGCC